rnacentral:rRNA from 1 species
AACGAACGUUGGCGGCGUGGAUUAGGCAUGCAAGUCGAACGAAUCCCCAGCAAUGGGGGGAAGUGGCGAAAGGGGCAGUAAGGCGUGGGUAACCUACCCCGAGGACCGGGAUAGCCUCUCUAACGAGAGGGUAAUACCGGGCGCGGUAUCGAGGGGGCAUCCUCUUGAUAUGGAAGGGUCCGCCGCCUCGGGAGGGGCUCACGUAGUAUUAGCUAGUUGGUGAGGUAACGGCCCACCAAGGCAAAGAUGCUUAGCGGGUGUGAGAGCACGACCCGCGCCACUGGCACUGAGACACUGGCCAGACUCCUACGGGAGGCUGCAGUCGAGGAUCUUCGGCAAUGGGCGCAAGCCUGACCGAGCGACGCCGCGUGUGCGAUGAAGGCCUUCGGGUUGUAAAGCACUGUCGAGGGGGAGAAAGCCGUAAGCUUGAUCGACCCCUGGAGGAAGCACGGGCUAAGUUCGUGCCAGCCGCCGCGGUAAGAC